CGUAGUCCAGGCUGUCCUUGAACUUGGGGUCCACCCGCCUCUGUUUUGUCAGUGCUGAGAUGAGCCAGCUACCAUGCCCAGUUUGAGGCCGGUGGUUGUCCUAAUUCUGAAAGGGGAAACGAGAGACUAAAUAACUAAUUAAUUCUGUGUUGUGGCGCCUUGGACAAAGCGUUUCUCUUUUUAAAAUUCUUUACGCGUUUGAGCGUUUUGCCUGCAUGUAUGUGCCCCAUGUGCACGCACCCCAAAGAGUUCAGGAGAAGGCAUCAGGUUCCCUAGACUGGAAUCACGGAUGCUUGUGAGCCACCAUGUGGGUCCUGGGAACGCACCGUAAAAGCAAGGAGUGCUCUUAACUGCUGAGCUAUCUCUCCAGCCCCUGGCAAAAUAGUUCUCAACUGACCUAAGUCUGUAUACAAAGUGGAACAGAAUUUGACCCAAAGGUUAAGGCAGCAAAGGGUACAAAUGCAAGGACAGGGACAGCUGCUCUGACAGCUAAUCUUCAUUGUCAGUUCGACAGGAUCUAGUGUCACCAACGAAGCAAACCUCUGGGUAGGUUUGUGAGGGAUUUUCUAGAUAGCUCAGUUGAGGUGGGGAGGCAACCCCUCACUGUCGCCUGGCGUCUUACUGUAGGAUGGGGACUGAAUGAAAAGAACUGAACUGAGGGCCAGCGUUCCUCUCUCUCUGCUUCCUGACUGGAUCCAGUGUGAGCCAGCUGCCUCUUGCUCCAGCCGGGAGCCAGGAUAAUCGCUUCCUUGCGUGGCUGGUGGCUGUCGUUACAUUAAAGUGAAAAGAAAUGAAUACAGAGAUCAAGACUCCUCAUCCAGUCCCAGCCACCCUGAGGACACCUGCUAGCUCAAGAGAAUCAGAGUCUUCUUCGUGGGGAGAGAGGCUCAUUAUGAAAGGAUUGUGAGCCUACCCUGAUAGGCUGUCUGACGCUGGAGUUGAUUCUGGGCUGCUUCCUGAAGACAUUUCACUGGAUGGAAGGUUUCUGUGGUAACAGUCAGAGGAUAUACCCGAGUGCUAUUACAUAGGUAUACCUCUGAGAUUCAGUUGAGUGCCAGCUACCUGGGCUACAUGAAACCCAGCCUCAAAACCAACAGACAAAACCACACUUAAUGCAUAAACAACAGCCGGGCAGUGGGGGCGCACACCUUUGAUCCUAGCACUUGGGAGGCAGAG
rnacentral:lncRNA from 1 species